GAGACCGAUAGAAAACAAGUACCGUGAGGGAAAGUUGAAAGAACUUUGAAGAGAGAGUUCAAUAGUACGUGAAACCGUUUAGGGGUAAACGGAAAAGAACUAAAAAUCCGAAAAGGGAGAUUCACGUCCACACGUUAUUUUGACUGCAGUGAUUUAUGAUGACUAGUGGAUUGUGCCUUGUGUAUAAUACUGCUAAUUGCAUUUAUCUUGUAUUUCAAGUGACGGUGGACCGCACUUCUCCCUAAGUAGGACGUCGCGACCCGCUAAUUUAUAAUCUAUGUGCAAUUUAAAAGUCUGUUCUGAAUUAAUUUUAUAUUAUUUAGUCAGGUGAUUUGCUUCUGAUUAUAAUUAAUUGGCGGUAUAAAACGACAGUGGUGAGCCGCUUUUAAAGCGUUUAAUUAACUAAUUAGUUGUGUUAGGAUUUGAUAAUAAAUGGUUAUUACCCUUAUUUGAUAUUCUGCCAACUAAUAUUAGUUUUUAUUAAACAGUGUUCACAACACUAGUCAGCGGCGCUACAGUUUUAGUAACUUUUCCGACCCGUCUUGAAACACGGANNNNNNNNNAAGGAGUCUAACAUAUGCGCAAGUCAUUGGGUAAUAAAAACCUAAAGGCGUAACAAAAGUAAAAAAACUUUUGCUUUGUUAGGGAGGAUGAAUAUAGACAAUUUGUCUUAUUCCGCACUCCCGGGGCGUCUGUUACUCAUUGCGAGUAAAGGCGCACCUAGAGCGUAUACGUUGGGACCCGAAAGAUGGUGAACUAUGCUUGACCAGGAUGAAGCCAGGGGAAACCCUGGUGGAGGUCCGUAGCGAUUCUGACGUGCAAAUCGAUCGUCAGAGUUAAGUAUAGGGGCGAAAGACCUAUCGAACCAUCUAGUAGCUGGUUCCCUCCGAAGUUUCCCUCAGGAUAGCUGGUGCCAAUGAUGAAACGAGUCUCAUCCGGUAAAGCGAAUGAUUAGAGGCCUUGGGGCCGAAACGACCUCAACCUAUUCUCAAACUUUAAAUGGAUGAGAGCCUUGGCUUGCUUAAAAGUGAAGCCAGGGACUUGGAUCUAGGUGCCAAGUGGGCCAAUUUUGG
rnacentral:rRNA from 1 species